rnacentral:tRNA from 1 species
GGGGAUUUAGUUUAAUUGGAAAAACCACAGAAUUGCAAUCUGUAAUUCCAGGGUCGGGGCCUGGUAUCUCCA